ensembl:lncRNA
ACCUUUAAAAGCAGAGAACUUCUCUCUGACUGGAGUCAGAAAGAAUGGCUGAAGGAAAAUGGCAGAAAGUGCAAGAGACAGAUUAGGAGUUUGAAGACAGAGUGGGCACGUUCACAAGGAAUGCAGACACCUGAAGGAGAGCCUUAAGUCUGAGAGAGGUCCCCACUAACAGUGAGCAAGAAGAAACAUCCUUAACAUUACAGUCACAAGGAGCUGAGUUCUGCCAACUCUUAAAAGAGCUUGGAAGCAGAUUCUUCCCAAGAGCCUCUGGUUGGAGAGCCCAGGAUGUCUGAGAUACCUUUAUUUUAGCUUUGUGAGUGCUUGAACAGAGGAACCAGAUGAUGAGCUGAGCCCACCGGUUCUUCUGACCUACAGAAGGCAUACCAAGAAAGUGGAGUAGCCAAUUACUUACAAGAUAAUUCAAACUGUUUUCCAACAUGGUUCUACUGAUUUAUAUUCCCAUCCACAACGUCUAAGAGUUCUGCUUGCUUUUGAAUUUUGCCAACAUUUUCUCUAAGAGUAAAAAGAGAACACCUUUGAGAGUGGAUGUGGAGGACUUCCCUGACAGUCCAGUGAUUAAGACUCCAUGUUCCUAAUGCAAGGAGUACAAGUUCAAUCCCUGGUCAGGGAACUAAGAUCUCACCUGCCUACUCCGGUCCAUCUGCUCCCAAGGUCCUAGAGCCCAGCCCUCUAGAUAUGCUGACUGAGAGUAUGGGAUACUUACUGAGUCCCUCCUCUUUGACAUGCCCCAAACUCUUUUAUUUUUUUCCUCUUCUUGAGACCAUGAGUCUGCCAACAACUCCACAUUGUUUCUCAACACAUUUUUGGUUAACUUAAGUUUUAACUCUAAGGAGCUUAAAAAUUAUGCACGUUCUUAGGGGAAAACACUAAGGGUCG